UACGUAGGCAGCGAGCGUUGUUCGGAGUUACUGGGCGUAAAGGGUGCGCAGGCGGUGGAGCAAGUCUGAUGUGAAAUCUCCCGGCUUAACCGGGAGGGUGCGUUAGAAACUGUUCUGCUGGAGUGAGGGAGAGGCAAGCGGAAUUCCUGGUGUAGCGGUGAAAUGCGUAGAUAUCAGGAAGAACACCAAUGGCGAAGGCAGCUCUCUGGGACGGUACUGACGCUGAGACGCGAAAGCGUGGGGAGCGAACAGG
rnacentral:rRNA from 1 species